UGGCUCAGUUGGUAGAGCAUGGUGUUUGCAACCCACAACGCCAGGGUUGUGGGUUCGAUUCCCAC
rnacentral:tRNA from 1 species